GGGGAAACAGUUCUUCCACCAUCAGUUGCUGUGUCCACCAGUGUCUAAGCUACCUUCCAAAGGCUCCUUUGCCGAUGGCUACUCACUAGCCAGGCCUAGGGUACAGGGAAGAUGUGUGCUUCUGGGAAGCACAGGCAUGUCUCGUCUUUUCCGUCUGAUGCCUCACUGGAUAAUGUCUGCAGAGCAAAGGAUUAAAGGCAUGGCCAUCAUACCUGGCACUGAUCUGGAGAUGCUUCAUAUCCUUUCUCAUUGUUCGGGAGGAAAAGCAGGACCUGCCCAGGCUUCCUGACAGCAAAGCAACCCAUACUCUGGGCCAAAGUCCCUCUGCUAACUGCAUGAAUGCCAAAUAGUGAGGUUUGCUGCUAUAUGAACUAAACAAGGCAGAAUUCUCUGUAAUUUGGGUGACCUUGUUCAAGUGACCUUCUCUGAGAUUAUCCCGAGUCAACUCCAAAGAACAGUCAUGAAAAGUCAAUAAAACAUUCUCCUAAAUACCCAA